rnacentral:rRNA from 1 species
UACGGAGGGGGCUAGCGUUGUUCGGAAUUACUAGGCGUAAAGCGCGCGUAGGCGGCUUUGUAAGUUAGAGGUGAAAGCCCGGGGCUCAACUCCGGAAUUGCCUUUAAGACUGCAUCGCUAGAAUUGUGGAGAGGUAAGUGGAAUUCCGAGUGUAGAGGUGAAAUUCGUAGAUAUUCGGAAGAACACCAGUGGCGAAGGCGACUUACUGGACACAUAUUGACGCUGAGGUGCGAAAGCGUGGGGAGCAAACAGG